rnacentral:rRNA from 1 species
UUUUCGGUUCGGGAGGGGCUUGAGGCCUAUCAGCUUGUUGGUGAGGUAAAGGCUCACCAAGGCAACGACGGGUAGCUGGUCUGAGAGGAUGAUCAGCCGCGUGGGACUGAGACACGGCCCAUACUCCUACGGGAGGCAGCAGUAGGGAAUCUUCCACAAUGGGCGAAAGCCUGUGGAGCAAUACCGCGUGAUCGAUGAAGCCUCUUGGGGUGUAAAGAUCUUUUCUGGGGGAAGAAUUCUGACGGUACCCUAGGAAUAAGCACCGGCUAACUCCGUGCCAGCAGCCGCGGUAAUACGGAGGGUGCAAGCGUUAUCCGGAAUAAUUGGGCGUAAAGCGUCCGCAGGUGGUUCGUUAAGUCAGGUAUUAAAGACGGCAGCUCAACUGUCGGACUGUAUCCGAUACUGGCGAACUAGAGUCUUGGAGGGGUAAGCGGAAUUCUGCAUGUAGGGGUAAAAUCCGUAGAUAUGCAGAGGAACACCAAAAGCGAAGGCAGCUUACUGGCCAAGUACUGACACUCAUGGACGAAAGCGUGGGGAUCAAACAGGAUUAGAUACCCUGGUAGUCCACGCCGUAAACAAUGGA